CAGUCGCCACGGUAAUACAGAGGGUGCGAGCGUUAAUCGGAUUUACUGGGCGUAAAGCGUGCGUAGGCGGCUUCUUAAGUCGGAUGUGAAAUCCCUGAGCUUAACUUAGGAAUUGCAUUCGAUACUGGGAAGCUAGAGUAUGGGAGAGGAUGGUAGAAUUCCAGGUGUAGCGGUGAAAUGCGUAGAGAUCUGGAGGAAUACCGAUGGCGAAGGCAGCCAUCUGGCCUAAUACUGACGCUGAGGUACGAAAGCAUGGGGAGCAAACAGGAUUAGAUACCCGCGUAGUCCUGUCUCUUAUACA
rnacentral:rRNA from 1 species